rnacentral:rRNA from 1 species
UAAAGUAGCGAAGCAGGUGAGCUGGCUGCCAAGAAAAGCCGCUAUUGUUCAUAUGAUACCCGUACCGUAAACCGACACAGGUGGAUGAGGAGAGAAUCCUAAGGCCGGCGGGAGAAGCAUUGUUAAGGAACUCGGCAAAAUGACCCCGUAACUUCGGGAGAAGGGGUGCCUGCGAGAGCAGGCCGCAGAGAAUAGGCUCAAGCAACUGUUUAGCAAAAACACAGGUCUAUGCGAAACCGAAAGGUGAGGUAUAUGGGCUGACGCCUGCCCGGUGCUGGAAGGUUAAGAGGAGAUGUCAGGAAACGAAGCAUUGAAUUUAAGCCCCAGUAAACGGCGGCCGUAACUAUAACGGUCCUAAGGUAGCGAAAUUCCUUGUCGGGUAAGUUCCGACCCGCACGAAAGGCGUAAUGAUUUGAGCGCUGUCUCGACAAUGCACCCGGUGAAAUUGAAGUACCAGUGAAGAUGCUGGUUACCUGCGCCAGGACGGAAAGACCCCAUGGAGCUUUACUCCAGCUUGAUACUGGGAUCCGAUGCUGUAUGUACAGGAUAGGUGGGAGGCUAAGAAGCGGUGACGCCAGUUGCCGCAGAGCCGAUGUUGGGAUACCACCCUUGCAGUAUUGGAUUUCUAACCAGCUGCCGUGACCCGGCAGUGGGACAAUGUCUGGCGGGGAGUUUGACUGGGGCGGUCGCCUCCGAAAGGGUAUCGGAGGCGCUCAAAGGUUCCCUCAGGAUGGUUGGAAACCAUCCGAAGAGUGCAAAGGCAGAAGGGAGCUUGACUGCGACACCGACGGGUGGAGCAGGUACGAAAGUAGGACUUAGUGAUCCGGUGGUAUUAAGUGGGAAUGCCAUCGCUCAACGGAUAAAAGCUACCCUGGGGAUAACAGGCUUAUCACUCCCAAGAGUUCACAUCGACGGAGUGGUUUGGCACCUCGAUGUCGGCUCAUCGCAUCCUGGGGCUGUAGCAGGUCCCAAGGGUUGGGCUGUUCGCCCAUUAAAGCGGUACGCGAGCUGGGUUCAGAACGUCGUGAGACAGUUCGGUCCCUAUCCGGCGCAGGCGGAGGAUAAUUGAGAGGAGCUGCCCUUAGUACGAGAGGACCGGGGUGGACGGACCGCUGGUGUAUCUGUUGGCUACCAAAGCCAUGGCAGAGUAGCCAAGUCCGGCAGGGAUAAACGCUGAAGGCAUCUAAGCGUGAAGCCCCCCUCAAGAUGAGUUAUCCCAAUAAGUAAGACCCCUUAGAGAGUAUGAGGUAGAUAGGUUUGAGGUGGAAGUGCAGUAAUGCAUGGAGCUGACAAAUACUAAUCGGUCGAGGGCUUAUCCUG